CUUCGACCAAAUCCUUGUCGCUGAUUUUCUAUAAAAACAAAAAAUGGAGUUGAUAAUUCUCACGUCCCACUGCUUUUGUCUUCAAUCCAACAUUCCAACUCCAUCCCAAAUCUCUGCAACAAAUCUUAGAGUUUUUUUUUUUUAAUUUUGAUUUUAAUUUUUAUAUUUCAAGCGAACGUCUCUUUCCAUUUUGCCUGGUCAUGACGGAGGUCCUUCAUUUCCCUUCAUCUUCAACCACUUCUUCUCCUUCUUCUUCUUCUUCUUCUUCCCCUUCUCCUUCUCUCUUUACCUGCGCACCGCCUCCCUGCUUAUCAUGUGCACCCCACUCUCUCCUCCUUCGAAAUGCUGAUGGGAACAAUUCUGUUGUGACGCAAGUUGUAGAAAUUGAAGACGACGACGGCAAGGACAGAGAGCCGUCCGAUCAGUUGUCUGUUCUUACUCUGCUCGUCACCAUUUUUAGAAAAUCUUUGGUUGCUUGUAAGACCGAGAGGAGAGAUCUCUGUGCUAUGGAAAUCAGCCAUCCAACAAACGUUCGACACGUGGCUCACGUUACCUUCGACAGGUUCCAUGGUUUCUUGGGCUUGCCUGUUGAGUUCGAGCCUGAAGUUCCCAGGAGACCUCCCAGUGCUAGUGCAACUGUUUUUGGAGUUUCCACGGAAUCUAUGCAGUUAUCUUACGACUCCAGAGGAAACAGUGUGCCAACAAUAUUGCUGCUAAUGCAAAGACACCUGUAUAAUCGAGGAGGCUUGGAGUUAGAAGGGAUUUUCAGAAUAAAUGCAGAAAAUAGUCAGGAGGAGUAUGUGAGGGACCAAUUAAAUAGUGGAGUGGUACCAGAUGCUGUUGAUGUGCACUGUUUGGCAGGACUUAUCAAGGCCUGGUUUAGAGAACUGCCAAUUGGGGUUCUGGAUUCCUUAUUGGCUGAGCAGGUAAUGCGAUGCCAGACAGAAGAGGACUGCACUGAGCUUGUGAGGGUUCUACCCCCAACAGAAGCUGCUUUAUUGGAUUGGGCUAUCAAUCUGAUGGCUGAUGUUGCCCAACUAGAACAUCUAAACAAGAUGAAUGCACGCAACAUAGCAAUGGUUUUUGCACCAAACAUGACUCAGAUGGCAGACCCCUUGAUUGCAUUGAUGUAUGCUGUUCAAGUGAUGAACUUCCUUAAAACACUUAUAUUGAGAACAUUGCGGGAAAGAGGAGAUUCUGUAGUAGAUCAGAGUCAAGUUUCACAUUUGGAGCCUUUUGACGAGAAUGGACGCCAGAGCCCCUCAGAACCCUGUGUGCAAGUUGCUGAAAGAAAUGGCGAAAAAAUUAACCAAGCCUUUGUUGCUGAGGAACCUAUCAUGCAAGAUUCUGCGGACUUCGGUCAGAAGAACGAGAUAAUUGAUGGAGAAGAUCACAGUCCUAUAACCUCUGUUGAAAAAUCAACUGCUAAUAGUGAGCAGUGUCAUCUGACUCCAGUUCAAGUUGACACUUUAACUAGUGAAACCGGUGUGUGUGAAUUCAUUGGUAAAAAGGCGGGUCUUCAGGCAAAAACUGGAAAGUACAUGAUUGGCCGGUCAAGUAAUUCAAAUCUCAAAGGAGGCCCUAGAAUAUUUAAUAGGCAACAUAGUGUGCUCCACAUUACAGGAACUGCUGAGAAGACCAAGGGCAUCGGCAAUCUGAGUUGUAUAGAUUCAAGGACAGAGCGAAUUGAAGCUUGGCGAUGAAAUGGCUCAACUUCGGUUAUCAGCCAACUAAUCCUAUGACAAAGUGACUCUUAAGGUUUGCAACAUGUGAGGGGGAAGCUUCUGAAUUAUGUUGUAUGUUUUCAGUGUGCUGGGUGGUUGCUUAACCUAUUCUAAUUUCACUGAUGCUAUUCUUCCAUGAUAUUCUACUCACAUGAUCAUGUCUCCACAGCUCAGGAGCUUAGCAAGUCAUUGUUGAAUGAAAACUAUGCUUUGAGGAAGAAGAAAGGGGAAAUGAAAAUUCUGAUGAUUGGAAAUGUGAUAAGGUGAAUAAGCUAAAAUUAGGUGAUUCCAUUUGCUUAAAAGAGUUGGUUUAUAGAAAUAUGGGUGAGUGCAUCAUAGAAUCUCAUGAACUGGGAAUCUGAGGAACUUUUAAAGAAAGGUUUGUAAUGUUUUGGCCAUCAGAUCAAUAUCUCUGGGUACCACCACAGAACUUUCUCUUGGCAGCUUUUCAUUGGAACUAGCAAAAAUCUCCUUCUCAAUUAUCAACCUUUCAAGCAGAAAAUACUGCAGCUUGGUACUGAUGUCACAUUAUCCCUUCUCUCAACUGU